rnacentral:rRNA from 1 species
GACUCGUCACACUAUCAUUAACUGAAUCCAUAGGUUAAUGAGGCGAACCGGGGGAACUGAAACAUCUAAGUACCCCGAGGAAAAGAAAUCAACCGAGAUUCCCCCAGUAGCGGCGAGCGAACGGGGAGGAGCCCAGAGCCUGAAUCAGCAUGUGUGUUAGUGGAAGCGUCUGGAAAGGCGCGCGAUACAGGGUGACAGCCCCGUACACAAAAGCGCAUGUGCUGUGAGCUCGAUGAGUAGGGCGGGACACGUGGUAUCCUGUCUGAAUAUGGGGGGACCAUCCUCCAAGGCUAAAUACUCCUGACUGACCGAUAGUGAACCAGUACCGUGAGGGAAAGGCGAAAAGAACCCCGGCGAGGGGAGUGAAAAAGAACCUGAAACCGUGUACGUACAAGCAGUGGGAGCACCCUUUGGGGUGUGACUGCGUACCUU